UUAAGCACAGUGGGAAUCUGUGGGGGUGCACUCAAAAAAUCUUCAGACGGCAAAUCCCAAAUGCAUAGCGGGGUUCGUGUUCCUUGUACAGCUGAGAGACACGGCGGUGUCAGACAGAAGGCUCGUGCUUUUUAAGUCUGAUCCUCUCCGUGUCGCCGUGCCAGACUCUUUCGGCGGCUGCAGCGGGCCUUAGCGUGGCAGCGCUCGCCCCUCCGCGGGAUUUUCCACUCACCGUGGCAAACGUCUAUCAGAUCAGACACAUUAAGAAGCUAAUUGUCCCCCUUGGGUUGGACUGUUCAUUAUCUGAGCCAGUGCACAGGAUGCAGUGAAGCAGGGAAAGGAAUGGAGGCCACGGCAAGCUGACACAUACAAGCACGAAAACCUGCUGGGACGUUUUCUCCUCUACCACCUUCCCGAAGCCUCAAACCGAAUAAUCAGCCUCCAUUGCACUAUGUAUGAGCCCAGGGCCGACAUGGCAUCAACAUGAUCCAAUACAAGACGAGUGGAUAUGAACCUGGGCCAGGAAAGAGAAAGAGGACUCACUUUGUGAGCUUGAUAAGUUCACUUCUGGUGUGAGAACAUUAACAUUUCUCACUCAAAGACAAAAAAAUAGCGAGCCAGUAUGGUGAUGGGCCAUCACAGGAAAGUCUUGGAGUCGUUCCACUGGUAUAGAGAGGCUGCCAGGAUGCAUAUACAGCAUUAGUAUUUCAAGGUGACUUCCUGGGCAAGUUUUCGGGUUUAUAACAGUGGUUGUCAUAAUACAUUCUUCUUUGUCCAGAUUUAUGUUGGAUUGUGGUUUCUUUAAGGCUGCUGUGUUUUCAUGUUUCCAAUGUAAUGUGACAGAUCGAAUGGCUUUGACUAUUUGAAAGAUGUUGCUUGUAAUAGUAAAAUUAAUG